UACGUAGGGGGCAAGCGUUGUCCGGAUUUAUUGGGCGUAAAGCGCUCGCAGGUGGUUCGAUGCGUCGUGCGUGAAAGACCCCGGCUCAACUGGGGAGUGUCGUGCGAUACGGUCGGACUGGAGGCCAGUAGGGGGAUGCGGAAUUCCAGGUGUAGCGGUGAAAUGCGUAGAUAUCUGGAGGAACACCCAGGGGGAAACCAGCGGACUGGGCAUUGGCUGACGCUCAAGUGCGACAGCGUGGGGAGCGAACCGG
rnacentral:rRNA from 1 species